rnacentral:rRNA from 1 species
CCUACGGGGGGCAGCAGUGAGGAAUAUUGGUCAAUGGCCGGAAGGCUGAACCAGCCAAGCCGCGUGAAGGACGAAGGUGCCAAGCAUUGUAAACUUCUUUUGUCAAGGGACAAAAUCAGGCUCGAGAGCCUGACCGAGGGUACUUGAAGAAAAAGCAUCGGCUAACUCCGUGCCAGCAGCCGCGGUAAUACGGAGGAUGCGAGCGUUAUCCGGAUUUAUUGGGUUUAAAGGGUGCGUAGGCGGACUGUUAAGUCAGCGGUAAAAGCCCGGGGCUCAACCCCGGCGAGCCGUUGAAACUGGCAGUCUUGAGAUGUCGAGAGGUAUGCGGAAUGCGCGGUGUAGCGGUGAAAUGCUUAGAUAUUGCGCAGAACUCCGAUUGCGAAGGCAGCAUACCGGCGGCGAUCUGACAUUGAGGCUCGAAAGUGUGGGUAUCAAACAGGAUUAGAUACCCGAGUAGUC